GCAAGUCGAACGAGAACGUGGACUUCUGUCCGCGAGUAAAGUGGCGCACUGGUCAGUAACGCGGGAAUAAUCUACCCCUGAAUUUGGGAUCACAGUUCGAAAGGGCUGCUAAUACCGGAUGACAUUGUCUUUUUUACGGAUUAGACGAUCAAAGAGGGCCUCUCCUUGGAAGCGUUUGUUUGGGGAUGAGUUCGCGUACCAUUAGCUUGUUGGUGGGGUAAUGGCCUACCAAGGCUGCGAUGGUUAGCUGGUUUGAGAGAAUGAUC
rnacentral:rRNA from 1 species